GCCUUAUUUGGUGCAGGAAAUGCUUACCCUUCCGAAGCACCUGAUUUCACUCUUGGUUUUUAGUGGAGUUCGUGUUGAUUCUUAUUUUUUUUUACUGUUGUUGUAAAUGUCUUUUGGUUUUAUGAGUCUUUGUUUACUUCUUGGUUUUGAUUGUUAUUGUCUUAAUUAAGUUGACUCUGGUCAUCAAUGUUUCUUUGUUUUAAUUUAUUUUUAAAUGUUCCGAUGAGUCUUUCGUAUAUGAAACGUACAUAGUGUAAUGC
rnacentral:lncRNA from 1 species